CAAAUGGACAAGGACGGCUAACUAUAUUUGGUACAAGAGAUGUAAAUUUCAGUGAUACACGAGAAAACCCAAACUCUAAUGUGUUUACCUUGUGAAUAGUUUGUUACAGGUCCUUAACAUCUUUUGAGCCACAGUUCUCAUGAUGGUAUCCUUCCGCCCACACGCACGCUUAACUUAACUGUUUCCCACUUGGCUUUGUUCUCCUCCUAAAAUUGAGGCUCCACAAAGACGAAUGAGACGUGCUUCAAACUAUCACAAUACAGAUGCGAUGCGGUCGUUUCGACCACCAGGUGGGAUUGUUUUCAGCUGAUUAAUGACGUCACUACCACAUCCGGGUUGGCCUUCUCAAAUAUGGUGCGCCUCCACGCCGUCCACCUGCCGAAGCGCUCGUCUCUGCUCUGCUUCCAGCUGCUCCACGACCUUCUUCCUGGCCUCUCCCACUGCCUCCUGCAGCUUGACAAAGUGCUGCUCCACCUCAGAUAGCGCCUCCUCCACCACAGACUGAAAACAACACCAAGGAAACACAUUAUGCCAGGCAUGUCCCAUCAAAGGCUACAUAUUCUUCGCCCUACAUUUAGCCUUUUCCCUCUAUUCUAUUUUGUAUUUCUAUUUUUAUUUGUACUACAGGUACAGGCAGUACCCAAAUGGACACCAAAUUGGACAACCCUGCUUUAAACACGGAUUGCACCUAGUGACCUCAAUAUGAGUGCGGGCCUCCCCCACAGACACGAUGGCGUGACCUCCGUGCCCCUGACCUUGACAGUCGGAGCACAAGCAGCAACCGUCUGUCAGACAGUAGUGCUCCAGCAGAAGGUGAUGAACAUCGCACCUGCUGCAGUCCAUGUGAUGUUGCGGCUCCACCAGACGAUGGCUCUGGAACUUGGCAUUCUUCAGGUGAGGUCUGAGGUGAUCCUCGCAGAAGGACACCAGACAGGUCAGGCAGGAUUUGACGGCCUUGCAGGGGUCGCCCAUGCAAGAGUCGCAUGGCACAUCUUGCUUGUCCGUUGUUUGAUCCCUCGUAUGCUCCUCCAUGUUGAAAUCUUCCUCACUGUUAGUUGUCGUCAUGUUUGUUGUCCAAUGUUUUUUUUUUUUUUUAACAUGCUCAGCCCCUUCUGAGAGUGUAAGGAAAUACUUCCAAACCACGCCUGUUAUUUUGUACUCAUUUUGCACCCCUCCCCGAGUUUACGCUGCCUGACUAAUCUGAGGACUUGCACACAGCCUCAAAAGAUAAGAGGAGGAAAUGACGAGUCCGGAUGAAUGCGCUUCCUGCUGCACAUUUGGUGUUUGCUCUGCUUGAAUGUAUUAUUUACAGUAUGUGGGAGCUAGUGUUUCAUUUUAAUGCACUGUUUCCUCACUACUUGAUAUGCAGGCUGCAGUGACGCUGUGUUAUGUGUGUGGGUGUGUGCACUGACGCAUCGGCAUAAGCGUAAAAUGUCUACAUAAACACUCAAUAUGACGUACUCACUUAAAGUGCACUUGAUCUAUGCAAGAGCAAAAGCAAACAUGUAGUUUAAUGCAUUUAUGAUAUAUCAAAAUACUAGAACAUUCAAAUCAAAUUAUAAAGACAGGCAUCUGUUUUUGUGCAGGAUGAGAAUGUUCAAAGAUAAGGCUAACAUUAUCUAUACCAAUAUUGACUCAACGUGCACUAUAUAUUUGUACACAUAUGCAAGUAUUAUAAGUAGUGAUGUCCGAUAUUGGCUUUUUUGAUAACCAAUAUACCAAUACCUAUACCAAUAUGUGUAACAUCACAUAUAUUUUUCUUGAGUAACUGAAUGCACUGACUGCAUUUUCUCUGCAAAUACUAUGUACAUAUGUGCUACAUGCUCUACAUCGCUAAAAGGAAGAUCCCCACACUGAUAUCACCAUUUUUUUUGCAGACAUGCCUAAUUAUAAAGGUUUCCAUGGUAAAUCAGAGCCAACCAGGUCAUAUCAGGUUUGCUGUGAGUGUAAACAUGGCCAUCAAAUACAAAUGAAAAACAUAGAGGAGCAUGCAGGAUCAUUUCAAAAGAAAAUGCAUGUCAAGUGUGUUUAGUUGAAAACAAGAGACAUUUUAAAGUGAAUGCACAGGCACGAGCCAUGCAGGCACAUGACGCUUGGUUGACCCCAUUGGGGAAAACAUGGUUAAAGAAAAGUGUGGUCAAUGACCCAGCAAGUUUGUUCAACUUUAAAUAUUUGCAUAGGUCACCUCCAGUAUUCCUUUAUGGUCUGUAAACAAGGCAGGAAGAUCAUUUAGUUCUCUCAGUUUUGUCUUCAUGAAGUAUUGAUACUCUGACUUCCAUUUGAAUCAUCUGCACAACAGAAAGAGAACAAAGGCCCACCAUAAGAUUUGCCAUAGAAAACCACUACUGCACUAAUUCUGUGUGCAAGAGGGUAUUGUGUGUGUAGAUGGUGUUCGGAUCUGAGUUUAAAUUGUCAUUAUAGUUCAUCCACAUUAUACUGUAUAUAAUUAAGUUUUGCAUGACGAUUGGAUGGAGACAAAAGCAACUAGAGUAUUUUAAAAGACAACAUUUAAAAGCCUGGCUGCAGACCUCCCUGCUGACUAAUGUAAUAGUAGUCCGCACAUAGAGCAGCUAAGUAAGCAGGUCAUGGUUGGAAAUGUGACUCUCCUGACCUCCAUCUAGCAGAUCCAAGACUGCAGACUUCCAUUUUAGUCACUGUGUUGUUGUGUUGAAAGGUUUUUUUGUAGCAGUAGAAUCCCUUUUCAUGAAAUGUUUUACAGUUGUAUUUGACAAUGUACAUGCAUGCACGUGAAACAAAAACAUACAUGCAGGCAAUAUUGUCACACUGUUACACUGAUUCAGACACCUUUGUAUUGGAUCUCGUUAGAUUGUGCAGGUGACCACAUUGGACACACAGUAGGAAGUGCACUCACAGUUCAGUGUCCUCAAUGGACUCUGGGUCCUCGAUGGUUUCCAGGCGUCUCUGACAGGCAUCUAAAAUCUUUUUCCUGGGACCUAAAGGGAUGUGGAUGCUCUUGAGAUCAUGAUCAGAGCACAGCAGCAGUGCUUCCAGGUCGAUCUUUUCCCUCCUGAAGAUGGAGAAGAAGUCGCUCAUACUCUGUGCGGCCAAGAACACCUCCAACGGGCUGGUGUGGGCUUCAUCAUCGUCGUCCAGCCCUAAUUCCACCUCCUCCCAGGGAAGCUCAUCGAGGUUCCUCUCCUGCAGGCUGCGAGCACUCCCGAUGCUGUCCUCAUCCAGACUGCGGUGGGGAUGCAGCCUGCUGCGGAGACGCACCGUGUUGCCCGUGUCGUCAGCUCCCUCUUGACCAUUCAGGUCAAACAUCCCCCCGCUCACGUAGUUUCUCCUGAAGACCAUGGUGCCCAAACCAGGCCGGUUGAACAGGGAAUCAUGUCCAGAGUCUGUGCUGACCUCUGAGUGGUCCACAUAGUUUCCAUGGAGGUCCGGCUCGCUGAUGGCACGUGAAAUGGUGUCGUCGUCUCUGGGGAACAUGUCACGGAUGUUGCGGCGACCAUAUUCCUUGGGGUUGACGUACGUGCCCGGUUUGAUGAACAUGACAUCGUUGCCCAGCUGGAGUCCAGAGAGGGAGCGCACACUCUUCCUCCCGUCCUCGUAGAUCUUAAAGGUCCCGUCUCCUUGUUUUUUCUUCUCCAGCUUCUUCUGGAUCUUUGUCUUCCCUCGAUUCGUGGCAUGAAGGGUAGCCUGGCAACACAGCAAGCAGAUGUAGUUCAGUGACAUGCAAUCAAACAAUGAACCUUCAUUUGUUCAUACAGUGGUGUGAAAAAGCCCUCUUCCUUUUGCCUCUUUUUUUGCACAUUUGUCACACUUAAAUGUUUUGGAUCAUCAAAAAAAUACCACACACAGGGCCAUGUAGUUCUGGAAUGUUUUCCCUUAAUAAUAAAGAGUUUAAUUAAAAAAUGCAUUUUGUGUUCAGUUGUGUUUGAUGAUCUGAAACAUUUAAGUGUGACAAAAAACGUACAGAAGGGGCCAAAUACUAGUUCACACCACUGUAGUAUGUACAAUAUGUUGGUGGUUAAUCUUUCCAUCUAUCCCCUUGUCUAUCCAUCCUCUAUCUAUCUGUCUUUCAGUCAGUCUGUCUGACCAUUCACCCGUCUGACAGUGGGACCCAUAUCUGUUGAUUUGUCUGUCAGUCUUUCUGUUUUGCUGCUUAAUAAUUGUGCUCUUAAUUAAUUAUUCUAUAAUUUUGACCUUUCAUAUAAGAAAAAGAUUAUCAUCAAAAUUAUGAUUUAAAGAUUGUGUCAUGUCAUCAUUGUGUCAUGUCACAUUUAAGCCACUCAAGUGUAGUGUACCUGUGCGAGGCAUACUUUAUUAGCUACAAAUCACAGGCCAUCACCAGCUCACACAUCAUUCCACGCCGUAGUGGAUAAGACAUUACCAACGUAUAAUGCAGAAUAUUAACCAACUACUAUGUGUAUAUGAGCUUGAACCAUGUGCAAGAUGGCAGCGCUUCCUGAACUAGUUCCUCUGUACUCAGGCAAGCAAACUUCUUAUGUGUGUGUGUCUAUGUAUGUGCGAGUGUGUGUGUAUAUGUGUCUUGUUGUCUU